rnacentral:rRNA from 1 species
GUGCCAGCAGCCGCGGUAAUACGUAGGUGGCAAGCGUUGUCCGGAAUUAUUGGGCGUAAAGCGCGCGCAGGCGGUUUUUUAAGUCUGAUGUGAAAGCCCACGGCUCAACCUUGGAGGGUCAUUGGAAACUGGAAAACUUGAGUGCAGAAGAGGAAAGUGGAAUUCCAUGUGUAGCGGUGAAAUGCGCAGAGAUAUGGAGGAACACCAGUGGCGAAGGCGACUUUCUGGUCUGUAACUGACGCUGAUGUGCGAAAGCGUGGGGAUCAAACAGGAUUAGAUACCCUGGUAGUCC